rnacentral:tRNA from 1 species
GCCCCCAUCGUCUAGUGGCCCAGGACACCGCCCUUUCAAGGCGGCAGCACGGGUUCGAAUCCCGUUGGGGGUG